CUACGGGCCGCACCAGCGGGGAAUAUUGCACAAUGGGGGAAACCCUGAUGCAGCAACGCCGCGUGGAGGAUGACGCAUUUCGGUGUGUAAACUCCUUUUAUAUCCCAAGAUAAUGACGGUGGGAUAUGAAUAAGCACCGGCUAACUCCGUGCCAGCGGCCGCGGUAAUACGGAGGGUGCAAGCGUUACUCGGAAUCACUGGGCGUAAAGGGCGCGUAGGCGGGUUGUCAAGUCUUGAGUGAAAUCCAACGGCUCAACCGUUGAACUGCUUGAGAAACUGGCAGCCUAGAGUAAGGGAGAGGUAGAUGGAAUUGGUGGUGUAGGGGUAAAAUCCGUAGAGAUCACCAGGAAUACCCAUUGCGAAGGCGAUCUGCUGGAACUUUACUGACGCUGAGGCGCGAAAGCGUGGGGAGCAAACAGGAUUAGAUACCCUCGUAGUC
rnacentral:rRNA from 1 species